rnacentral:misc_RNA from 1 species
GGAUAUUGAGCCACCGCCGGCGCAGGCGAAUCAUAUAUUUAUAUCACCAGCGUUGUAUAUAACUCCUGAACCAGCUCCGAUUCCGGAGACUUCUUCUGGUUCGUUGUCUCCUUCUCCUUAUUUAGUCAACCACAAGCGACGUGGCGGUGGAGAAGCAUUUGCGAACCGGAAACUUGAUGGAUUGGAGGAAGCUGAGCAAGUUAACGGACAGACUGAUUUGGAUUUGGAUUUGAAUUUGAAUUUGGAAGAGGAGCUACCUGAGGAAAAUUUGUUUGAGGAAGAUGAGGGAUUUUUGGAUCCGAGAUGUGAUGCGUUAAGUGUUGG